GAUGAACGCUAGCGGCAGGCCUAACACAUGCAAGUCGAGGGGUAACUAGAGUGAUAGCAAUAUUACUUUGGCUAGACCGGCGCACGGGUGCGUAACACGUAUGCAACCUACCUUAUACUGGGGAAUAACUUCGAGAAAUCGGCGCUAAUACCCCAUAACAUUGCGAAGAGGCAUCUCUUUGCAAUUAAAGCUCCGGCGGUAUAAGAUGGGCAUGCGUCCAAUUAGCUAGUUGGUGAGGUAACGGCUCACCAAGGCUACGAUUGGUAGGGGUUCUGAGAGGAUGAUCCCCCACACUGGUACUGAGACACGGACCAGACUCCUACGGGAGGCAGCAGUGAGGAAUAUUGCGCAAUGGACGAAAGUCUGACGCAGCCAUGCCGCGUGCAGGAUGACGGCCCUAUGGGUUGUAAACUGCUUUUGUACGGGAAUAAGCCCUUCUACGUGUAGGAGGCUGAAGGUACCGUAAGAAUAAGCACCGGCUAACUCCGUGCCAGCCGCCGCAGUAA
rnacentral:rRNA from 1 species